rnacentral:lncRNA from 1 species
UGCGGCCUACCCCGAACGGAGACCCCGGCCCGGCCGUGCGGCCUACCCCGACCCCGACCCCGACCCGGUCCUGCGACCUACCUCGAACCGAGGGCCCGGCCCGGCCUGGCCGCCCCUCCUCCCCCGCCCCGGGCCCUCUCGCCCCUCCGUACCGGGGAAGGCCGCGGGGGGGCGGAGCGGGGCUGCAGGGAACGGCGGAAUCGAUCGCAGCGCCGGAACCGGGAGGCGGAGGCCGAGGGGCUGCGGGGCUGCACCGGGGCGAACCCCCUCCCAACCCCCCCCCCCUCCGCAUCCCACCCCGCUGGGGGUGUCGGGGCGCGGGGCUGCACCCCAUGGAGGGGAAGUUCCUCCAGCCGAAGAUGGGGGCGACUUCGGGUUCACUGUAGUGGAGCAUUUUCACUUCCGAGUCGCUCAGCCCAAAGUCCCACAUGUAGACGUCGGACAUCUCCCCCGUGAAGGACUGCAGAACGUCGAAGCCUCCCCCGUAGGCGUCCUGCUCCUGCCCCAGCACCACCACGGCCUCGUUGCCCACCACGUAGCCCUUCUGCAGCCCUUUGCGGGGCCACGGGCGCCCGUUGAGCCAGAAGCGCACGAUGCCGCUGGGUGACUCCCAGGUGACGCAGACGUGCUCUGGGUCCAUAUAGUUCUCGGGGAUGUGGAAGGCGACGUAUUUCCCCCCCACGUAGAAGUGGUACUCGGUGGGUUUGAAUUUGAGGAGGAGGAUCUCGUUGUCCUGCUCCUUGGUGGCGUAGGAGAAGAGGCUGUGGGGCCGGGUGAGGUCGGUGUAGGAGCGCAGGCACACGGUGAAGUUGAGCAGGGGGUGCUCUGGCCGUGCCUGCAGCAGCACGUAGGAAUCGUUGGACGCUUGGGGGAACACGAACACUCUGUACUUCAGGUCUGGGAGAGGUGAGAAAAAAGUCAGUGUCCCUCACAGAGGGAAACUAUCAGACGGGGAAGUGGCCACUCUUAGCCCAGAGGUGGCUUCCAGCAUCUCGAGGUGCAGCCACGGGAGGGCUGGUGACCCAGGGUGACAUUGGCACGGGGUGGCGAGGAGGAGCUGGGAGAAGGAGGGCACGGCUGGGGACAGGUUUUCCCCUCCUUACCGUCUAUCCAAAGGUUGUAGGUGGCCACGGCGGUGCCCUGGGGGCUGCUGACCUUGCAGGUGUAGGUGCCCAGGUGGGUUUUGUUUAAGGAGCGGAAGAGGAGGAUAUCACUGGGGCCUUUCUGCAGCGGUUUGUGGAUCCCUUUCUUCUCCCACACGAACUCCUUGGGGCUGUGUGGGGCUCGGUGUCACCCAGGCCUGGGGUUGCCCGUGGGGUGGCCGUGCCGUGGGGUGGAGGGGUUGGGGGGGGAUGCCUUACCCGGGGUCCCCGGAGACCUUGCAGCUCAGCACCAGGCUGUGGUACAUAGAGGGCACUAUGGGGGAGCUCUGGAUCUGGGCGCUCAUUUUGGCUGCGGCACCUGGACAGAAGGACGGCGCUGAGGUGGGGGGGUUUCAUCGCCCUGCCACCCCCCAUCACAGCCCACGUCCCCACGUGUGCCCCUUUUGUGAUGUCCGGCGUUGUAUCCCUGCUGUGCCGCGUUGCUCAGUGCCACCACCCCGUGUGUCCCCCUGUCGUCGUCCCCCGACCCCCUAUGGGAUCUUUCACCCCUACCAUCUGUGGCAGAGAGGCUGCAGAGCCCCACGAGGAAGGAGAGGAGGCAGAAGCGUGGCGUCCCCAUGACCCCACCUCAGUGACAAUGGCAGAGGCACCGCUCCAGGGGACUUCCCAGAAGGAAGGCACUCCCACCUGAUUUUCUCCCUGGACUGCGAGGGCACUGACCCACGUGUCGCUGUGUGGACAUUGGCCCCGCAUCCCACAGGUGGACGUCCGCCAUCUCCCCCGUGAACGAGUUGUAGACGUCGAAGCCUCCCCCGUAGGCGUCCUGCUCCUGCCCCAGCAUCACCACGGCCUCGUUGCCCACCUCGUAGCCCUUCUGCAGCCCUUUGCGGGGCCACGGGCGCCCGUUGAGCCAGAACUCGGCGAUGCCGCUGCCCGACUCCCAGCUGGCGCAGACGUGUUCCCAUUCCCCGCGGUUCUCGGGGACGCGGAAGAAGGCAGUGAGGAGCAGCACGAGGGGCGCGAGGCAGCAGUGCAGCCCCCCCAGCGCCGUGCUCAGCCCCAGCGCGAAAUCAAAGCUCUCAAAGGCACUGCAGGACCGAAGGAAACGGGCGGCUGCUGCCAGUAAAGGCGCUGAGCGGCGGCGCUGGUAAUUUCUGGUGCAGGAAAUGAUCAUUCAUUGGCAGAACGACUGCAGUUCCUUUGGAAUUCUAUUUGGAAGCGUUGAUGAUGCGGGACAAAAUCCGUGCCAGCCCUUUUUCCAGGGACCCAAAUCCCUCCCGGACCUUCGGGACAUCUCCUGCGCUCCGAUCUGCGCCGCGGAGACAUGCGGUGAGAUGGAACCGUGCUCGAAAACACGUCGUGUUUCAUGGGAAAGAAUUGCGCCUAUCGAGAGUGGAUGGUGAAGACCUUUGGAGAAGCCCACGUGCUGUGCAUGCUCUGUGUGUGCAGUGAAGUGAACGGCAUCGUGUCGGCAGUGUGACCUCUGGUGACAAUGCGUGUCCCAUGGCAGAAGCUCGGGGCUCCUGUUGGGAGCACGGUCAGCGUCGUCCUCCCACUGGGACCAUGACCAAUAUCCUCCCGUUGGGACCCACGGCCAACAUCCUUCUCCCAUUGCGACCAUGACCAACAUCCUCCUCCCAUUGGGACCCAUGGCCAGUGUCCACCUUCCACUGGGACCACGACCAGUGUCCUCUUGUUGGGACCAUGACCAACAUCCUCCUCCUGUUGGAACCCAUGACCAACGGCC